AGCCAACACCCCAAACUGCCACUAACACCCAGCCACUCAUCACCUGCAACCACCAGACCGGCCAAGGAAGCAUCGCCGCCACCUCUGCAACCCAGCCCAGCCGUCAGCCGCCGCGAGUUUCACCGGAAAACUGCAGAAAAACGGGCUGGUUUUUGCUCAAACUUCUCACCGCUCGUUCUUCCUCCUCCAGCCACCAAAUUGGACGAAAUAGGCACCCGGGCACCAGGUGACCCGCAUGAGAGACCUUCAAAGGGUCCAGCUAGCUCAGAGUAUCUGUGAGUGGACUGUUAGUUUUAUAAACGUUUUAUGCAUUUUAAUUUCAUUAUUUGAUCUUGAAUAAGUUUUACUGAAUACA